rnacentral:rRNA from 1 species
GAUGAACGCUGGCGGCGUGGAUAAGGCAUGCAAGUCGAACGGACAUUCUUUUUUAGCAAUAAGAGAGAAUGUUAGUGGCAAACGGGUUAGUAACACGUAGGUAACUUUCCUUGAAGUCUGGCAUAAUCCCGCGAAAGCGGGACUAAUUCCGGAUGGAAAUGAGGGGGCGAAAGCCAUUCUCAUUUAAAGGUGCAAACCGCUUCAAGAGAGGCCUGCGUCCUAUCAGCUAGUUGGUGAGGUAACGGCUCACCAAGGCUAUGACGGGUAGGGGGACUGAGAGGUCGGCCCCCAACAUCGGGACUGAGACACUGCCCGGACUCCUACGGGAGGCAG